rnacentral:misc_RNA from 1 species
GAUGAAGAACGUAGCGAAAUGCGAUAAGUAAUGUGAAUUGCAGAAUUCAGUGAAUCAUCGAAUCUUUGAACGCACAUUGCGCCCGCCAGUAUUCUGGCGGGCAUGCCUGUUCGAGCGUCAUUUCAACCCUCAAGCCCCAGCGGCCUGGUGUUGGGGACCGGCGACCUCGCCCGAGCCCGCCCUCCGGGGCGCGUGCCCGGUGCGUCCGCCGCCCCCGAAAUGAAUUGGCGGCCUCGUCGCGGCCUCCUCUGCGUAGUAGCACAACCUCGCAAGCGGGAGCGCGACGCGGCCACUGCCGUAAAACGCCCAACUUUUACCGAGUUGACCUCGAAUCAGGUAGGAAUACCCGCUGAACUUAAGCAUAUCAAUAAGCGGAGGA